GGAGAGGUAGACGUACUCGGUAGAAGGGUAAAUCUUUGAUCUAUUGAUGACCACCUGUGGCGAAGGCGGUCUACCAGAACACGUCCGACGGUGAGGGAUGAAAGCUGGGGGAGCAAACCGGAUUAGAUACCCGGGUAGUCCCAGCUGUAAACUAUGCAAACUCAGUGAUGCAUUGACUUGUGGUCAAUGCAGUGCUGCAGGGAAGCCGUUAAGUUUGCCGCCUGGGAAGUAUGUACGCAAGUAUGAAACUUAAAGGAAUUGGCGGGGGAGCACCACAAGGGGUGAAGCCUGCGGUUCAAUUGGAGUCAACGCCAGAAAUCUUACCCGGAGAGACAGCAGAAUGAAGGUCAAGCUGAAGACUUUACCAGACAAGCUGAGAGGUGGUGCAUGGCCGUCGCCAGCUCGUGCCGUGAGAUGUCCUGUUAAGUCAGGUAACGAGCGAGAUCCCUGCCUCUAGUUGCCACCAUUACUCUCAGGAGUAGUGGGGCGAAUUAGCGGGACCGCCGCAGUUAAUGCGGAGGAAGGAAGGGGCCACGGCAGGUCAGUAUGCCCCGAAACUCUGGGGCCACACGCGGGCUGCAAUGGUAACGACAAUGGGUUUCAAAUCCGAAAGGAUGAGGUAAUCCUCAAACGUUACCACAGUUAUGACUGAGGGCUGCAACUCGCCCUCACGAAUAUGGAAUCCCUAGUAACUGCGUGUCAUUAUCGCGCGGUGAAUACGUCCCUGCUCC
rnacentral:rRNA from 1 species